AGAUUGAACGCUGGCGGCAUGCCUAACACAUGCAAGUCGAACGGGAGUAGCAAUACUCUAGUGGCGGACGGGUGAGGAAUACGUAGGAAUUUGCCCUUAAGUGGGGGAUAACCCGGGGAAACCCGGAUUAAUACCGCAUGACCUCGAAAGAGCAAAGUGGGGGAUCGCAAGACCUCACGCUUUUGGAGAAGCCUACGUCGGAUUAGCUAGUUGGUGAGGUAAUGGCUCACCAAGGCGACGAUCCGUAACUGGUCUGAGAGGAUGAUCAGUCACACCGGAACUGAGACACGGUCCGGACUCCUACGGGAGGCAGCAGUGGGGAAUUUGGACAAUGGGCGAAAGCCUGAUCCAGCAAUGCCGCGUGCAGGAAAGAAAGGCCUUCGGUUGUAAACGUAG
rnacentral:rRNA from 1 species